rnacentral:rRNA from 1 species
AUUGAACGCUGGCGGCAGGCCUAACACAUGCAAGUCGAGCGAGCGGCGGACGGGUGAGUAAUGUAUGGGGACUGCCCUAUAGAGGGGGAUAACUACUGGAAACGGUGGCUAAUACCGCAUACUAUCGGAUAACCCAGAUGGGAUUAGCUAGUAGGUGGGGUAAAGGCUCACCUAGGCGACGAUCUCUAGCUGGUCUGAGAGGAUGAUCAGCCACACUGGGACUGAGACACGGCCCAGACUCCUACGGAGGCAGCAGUGGGGAAUCUUGCGCAAUGGGCGCAAGCCUGAUGGAGCAACGCCGCGUGUAUGAAGAAGGUCUUAGGGUCGUAAAGUACUUUCAGCGGGGAGGCGUUACCUGACGAGGAAGCAACGGCUAACUCCGUGCCAGCAGCCGCGGUAAUAC